UCAAGCUACUAAGGGCAUAUGGUGGAUGCCUUGGUACCAGGAGGCGAUGAAAGACGUGGUUAGCUGCGAAAAGCCUUGGGGAGCCGCUAAACAGGCUUAGAUCCAGGGAUUUCUGAAUGGGGGAACCCGGUCCGUGUUAUGACGGAUCAUCUGUUGCUGAAUACAUAGGCAGCAGAAGCGAACGAAGGGAACUGAAACAUCUAAGUACCUUCAGGAAGAGAAAGCAAUCGCGAUUCCCCGAGUAGUGGCGAGCGAAAGGGGAACAGCCUAAACCGAUGAUGCGUGACAGCCUGCAAGCGUUGCAUCACCGGAGUUGUCGGGGCUCUAUUGGAGAAGGUUGCAGCCUUCUCGGAAAGUUACAAAAUCUGUCGAUAGCUUAAUCCGCUGGAAAGCGGAGCCACAGAGGGUGAUAGUCCCGUAAGUGAAAUCGGCAGGUCUUUCUGAAUAGAGUUCCCAAGUACUGCGGGACACGUGAAAUCCUGCAGGAAUCUAGGAGGACCAUCUUCUAAGGCUAAAUACUACCUGGUGACCGAUAGUGAACAAGUACCGUGAGGGAAAGGUGAAAAGAACUCCGGAAGGAGAGUGAAAUAGUACCUGAAACCGUGUGCCUACAAGCUGUGGAAGGACUAUGGGCCAAUGGAGGGGGUAACCCCUUUAUUGUCCAGUCUGACUGCGUGCCUUUUGCAUAAUGAGUCAGCGAGUUACUCUAUGGAGCAAGGUUAAGCCGACAGGUGGAGCCGUAGCGAAAGCGAGUCUUAACAGGGCGAUGAGUUCCAUGGAGUAGACCCGAAACCAAGUGAUCUAUCCAUGGCCAGGGUGAAGCGUAUGUAACAGUACGUGGAGGCCCGAACCGGUGUGGGUUGAAAACCGCUCGGAUGAGCUGUGGAUAGGGGUGAAAGGCCAAUCAAACUUGGAAAUAGCUGGUUCUCCCCGAAAUAUAUUUAGGUAUAGCCUUGCAAUUGAGUGUUGGAGGUAGAGCACUGAAUGGGCUAGGGGUCCUACCAGAUUACCAAACCCAACCAAACUCCGAAUGCCAACAUCUUGUAUUGCAGGAGUCAGACUACGGGAGNNAGGUCCCUAAUACAUGCUAAGUGGAGAAGGAUGUGGAAACGUCCAGACAACCAGGAGGUUGGCUUAGAAGCAGCCAUCCUUUAAAGAAAGCGUAAUAGCUCACUGGUCGAAUGGGUCUGCGCCGAAAAUUCAGCGGGGCUCAAGCAUGUAACCGAAGCUGCGGACUUGCCCGCAAGGGUGAGUGGUAGGGGAGCAUUCCAUAGUAGGUCGAAGCCGGACCGUAAGGACCGGUGGACGAGAUGGAAGAGAUUAUGCUGACAUAAGUAGCGAUAAAGUCUGUGAGAAACAGACUCGCCGAAAACCUAAGGUUUCCUGAGUAAAGUUAAUCUGCUCAGGGUUAGUCGAUCCCUAAGCCGAGGCCGAAAGGCGUAGGUGAUGGGAAACAGGUUAAUAUUCCUGUACCACCAGAAUAGCGUCUGAGCUAUGGGGGGACGUAGAAGGGUAGGCCAUCCGGGUGUCGGAUGUCCCGGUUCAAGCCGGUAGGAGGAGAUUCCAGGCAAAUCCGGAAUCUUAUUCAACUCCGAGAAGUGAUGAGGAGAGACUUUGUCUCAUAAACUGGCUGAUCCCACGCUACCAAGAAAAGCCUCUAUGCGAGUUGUUCUGGUGAUCGUACCGUAAACUGACACAGGUGGGUGAGGAGAGUAUCCUAAGGCGCUUGAGUGAAGUCUCGUUAAGGAACUCGGCAAAAUAGCACCGUAACUUCGGAAAAAGGUGUGCCCCGUUAACGUGAAGCGAUUAGCACGCAGAGCGUGAGGGGGUUGCAGUGAAAUGGUCCAGGCGACUGUUUAGCAAAAACACAGGUCUCUGCGAAGUCGUAAGACGAUGUAUAGGGACUGACGCCUGCCCGGUGCCGGAAGGNNUAACGGUCCUAAGGUAGCGAAAUUCCUUGUCGGGUAAGUUCCGACCUGCACGAAUGGCGUAACGAUCUGGACGCUGUCUUGACGAGAUGCUCAGCGAAUUUGAUAAACCGGUGAAGAUGCCGGUUACCCGCAACUAGACGGAAAGACCCCGUGCACCUUUACUACAACUUGACAAUGAAUUUCGGACUGGUUUGUGUAGGAUAGGUGGGAGGCUUUGAAGUGGGGACGCUAGUUUCCAUGGAGCCAACCUUGAAAUACCACCCUGAUUAUUCUGAAAUUCUAACCUGGGCCCGUGAUCCGGG
rnacentral:rRNA from 1 species